ACACCGCGUCCCCGAGAAAUUCUACACUAUUACACUUACACCACAUCAUCAAUAACAAAUCAAUCAUAUUUUUUCUUUCCAAACAAAAGUAUAAUAAAAUUCUUUUUUUACAAUCAUGAUGGGACAUAUAUCUCUAAAAAAAAAUAUUUGAUUGAUUUGUUACGCCACGUCACCGAUAUAUUCAUUGCAUUCUAGAAUUUUUUUGGUCGAUGUUGCGACACUUCUUAGUUCUUACCGACAAAUUGUUCGGUUUAUUAUUACUAACUGCAAUAUCGGUAAUUAAUUCAGCUGUAAAAUUUACUGCUUGUUCUGUUUGCAUUCGUGAAUCAUCGAUUAUCAGAUCUUUGAUCGAUCGAUAAAAUGAUUAACCCAUCAUCGUAAUUUUAUAUCUCUAUAAUUUUAGUUAC
rnacentral:lncRNA from 1 species